UGGCUCAGGAUGAACGCUAGCUACAGGCUUAACACAUGCAAGUCGAGGGGCAUCAUGAGAUUAGCUUGCUAAUCUUGAUGGCGACCGGCGCACGGGUGAGUAACGCGUAUCCAACCUUCCCUAUACUAGAGGAUAGCCCGGCGAAAGUCGGAUUAAUACUCUAUGUUCUUCGUAGAUGACAUCUGAAAUGAAGCAAAGAUUUAUCGGUAUAGGAUGGGGAUGCGUCUGAUUAGAUAGUAGGCGGGGUAACGGCCCACCUAGUCGACGAUCAGUAGGGGUUCUGAGAGGAAGGUCCCCCACAUUGGAACUGAGACACGGUCCAAACUCCUACGGGAGGCAGCAGUGAGGAAUAUUGGUCAAUGGGCGAGAGCCUGAACCAGCCAAGUAGCGUGCCAGGAUGACGGCCCUAUGGGUUGUAAACUGCUUUUAUACAGGGAUAAAGCGAGGGACGUGUCCCUUUUUGUAGGUACUGUAUGAAUAAGGACCGGCUAAUUCCGUGCCAGCAGCUGC
rnacentral:rRNA from 1 species